UACGGAGGGUCCAAGCGUUAUCCGGAUUCAUUGGGUUUAAAGGGUGCGUAGGCGGUCAAAUAAGUCAGUGGUGAAAGCCUUCCGCUUAACGGGAGAACUGCCAUUGAUACUGUUUGACUUGAAUCUAGUUGAAGUGGGCGGAAUAUGUCAUGUAGCGGUGAAAUGCAUAGAUAUGACCUAGAACGCCGAUUGCGAAGGCAGCUCACUAAGCUAGUAUUGACGCUGAGGCACGAAAGCGUGGGUAGCGAACAGG
rnacentral:rRNA from 1 species